UACGUAGGGAGCAAGCGUUGUUCGGAGUUACUGGGCGUAAAGGGUGCGUAGGCGGCUUUGUAAGUAUGGUGUGAAAUCUCCCGGCUUAACUGGGAGGGUGCGCUUUAGACUGCGGGGCUCGAGUGUGGGAGAGGAAAGUGGAAUUCCUGGUGUAGCGGUGAAAUGCGCAGAUAUCAGGAGGAACACCGGUGGUGUAAACGGCUUUCUGGACCAUAACUGACGCUGAGGCACGAAAGCGUGGGUAGCAAACAGG
rnacentral:rRNA from 1 species